CGCCAGGGGACUACGAGCAUAGCUUAAAACCCAAAGGACUUGGCGGUGUCUCAGACCCACCUAGAGGAGCCUGUUCUAGAACCGAUAACCCCCGUUAAACCUCACCACUUCUUGUUAAUCCCGCCUAUAUACCGCCGUCGCCAGCUUACCCUAUGAAGGCAACACAGUAAGCAAAAUGGACAAAACCCAAAACGUCAGGUCGAGGUGUAGCGCACGAAAUGGGAAGAAAUGGGCUACAUUUUCUAUUACAGAAAAUCACGAAUGGUUUACUGAAACACAUACAUGAAGGAGGAUUUAGUAGUAAAAAGCAAAUAGAGAGUCCUUUUGAACAAGGCUCUGAGACACGC
rnacentral:rRNA from 1 species